AGUGGGGAAUCUUGCGCAAUGGGCGAAAGCCUGACGCAGCCAUGCCGCGUGUAUGAUGAAGGUCUUAGGAUUGUAAAAUACUUUCACCGGUGAAGAUAAUGACUGUAGCCGGAGAAGAAGCCCCGGCUAACUUCGUGCCAGCAGCCGCGGUAAUACGAAGGGGGCUAGCGUUGCUCGGAAUUACUGGGCGUAAAGGGAGCGUAGGCGGACAUUUAAGUCAGAGGUGAAAUCCCGGAGCUCAACUCCGGAACUGCCUUUGAUACUGGGUGUCUUGAGUGUGAGAGAGGUAUGUGGAACUCCGAGUGUAGAGGUGAAAUUCGUAGAUAUUCGGAAGAACACCAGUGGCGAAGGCGACAUACUGGCUCAUUACUGACGCUGAGGCUCGAAAGCGUGGGGAGCAAA
rnacentral:rRNA from 1 species